GUGGGGAAUUUUGGACAAUGGGCGCAAGCCUGAUCCAGCAAUGCCGCGUGCAGGAAGAAGGCCUUCGGGUUGUAAACUGCUUUUGUACGGAACGAAACGGUCCGGGUUAAUACCCUGGGCUAAUGACGGUACCGUAAGAAUAAGCACCGGCUAACUACGUGCCAGCAGCCGCGGUAAUACGUAGGGUGCAAGCGUUAAUCGGAAUUACUGGGCGUAAAGCGUGCGCAGGCGGUUUUGUAAGACAGGCGUGAAAUCCCCGGGAUCAACCUGGGAAUUGCGCUUGUGACUGCAAGGCUGGAGUGCGGCAGAGGGGGAUGGAAUUCCGCGUGUAGCAGUGAAAUGCGUAGAUAUGCGGAGGAACACCGAUGGCGAAGGCAAUCCCCUGGGCCUGCACUGACGCUCAUGCACGAAAGCGUGGGGAGCAAACAGGAUUAGAAACCCCGGUAGUCC
rnacentral:rRNA from 1 species